rnacentral:rRNA from 1 species
AUUGAACGCUGGCGGCAGGCUUAACGCAUGCAAGUCGAGCGGAGAUGAGGUGCUUGCACCUUAUCUUAGCGGCGGACGGGUGAGUAAUGCUUAGGAAUCUGCCUAUUAGUGGGGGACAACAUUCCGAAAGGAAUGCUAAUACCGCAUACGUCCUACGGGAGAAAGCAGGGGAUAUUCGGACCUUGCGCUAAUAGAUGAGCCUAGGUCGGAUUAGCUAGUUGGUGGGGUAAAGGCCUACCAAGGCGACGAUCUGUAGCGGGUCUCGGAGGAUGAUCCGCCACACUGGGACUGAGACACGGCCCAGACUCCUACGGGAGGCAGCAGUGGGGAAUAUUGGACAAUGGGGGGAACCCUGAUCCAGCCAUGCCGCGUGUGUGAAGAAGGCCUUAUGGUUGUAAAGCACUUUAAGCGAGGAGGAGGCUACUGAGACUAAUACUCUUGGAUAGUGGACGUUACUCGCAGAAUAAGCACCGGCUAACUCUGUGCCAGCCGCCGCGGUAAUAC